rnacentral:rRNA from 1 species
AUUGAACGCUGGCGGCAUGCCUUACACAUGCAAGUCGAACGGCAGCACGGGUGCUUGCACCUGGUGGCGAGUGGCGAACGGGUGAGUAAUACAUCGGAACAUGUCCUGUAGUGGGGGAUAGCCCGGCGAAAGCCGGAUUAAUACCGCAUACGAUCUACGGAUGAAAGCGGGGGCCCUUCGGGCCUCGCGCUAUAGGGUUGGCCGAUGGCUGAUUAGCUAGUUGGUGGGGUAAAGGCCUACCAAGGCGACGAUCAGUAGCUGGUCUGAGAGGACGACCAGCCACACUGGGACUGAGACACGGCCCAGACUCCUACGGGAGGCAGCAGUGGGGAAUUUUGGACAAUGGGCGAAAGCCUGAUCCAGCAAUGCCGCGUGUGUGAAGAAGGCCUUCGGGUUGUAAAGCACUUUUGUCCGGAAAGAAAACCUUGGCUCUAAUACAGUCGGGGGAUGACGGUACCGGAAGAAUAAGCACCGGCUAACUACGUG